AAAAAAAAAAAAGCUUCUGCGUUUCCCACCGAGAGAUUCCCGGUGCGCACCCAGCACCCAGCCAGUCACCCCAUAUCCAUUCUGGGAAGAGAGACAACCGGGAAGACAGGGAGACGGAGUGAGACAGGAGUCUGUCGUUGCUACUGCAUGCUGCAACCUCGAUAUUAUGAGUAGGGUAUUCCCAAACAGCUGGAAGGAGCUGAUAUAUGGUGCUGCGCCCUCGUGUCGGGCCCUCCCCAAAAUGGACCGGUGCUAAGUGGUAACCUGGUUAUUUUCAGCGCGUCACUGGCUCGUCUCCAGUUAAAGGUUUCCAUCGGGAAAGAGGAAGGGAGGGGGGGGGGCAGCGGCAAUGUGGCCCCAUAUUUCCAAUUAUUCUGAAAAAGGACUUAAAAACGACCAAGCGCACUACACAGAGUAAUGUCCGAGCAUGUGUGUUUGCCUGGAACUGCACACAUUCCUGCGGUGUGUUGGCUCGCCCGUCCACAUGCGGCACACACGCCCGUCCCGCGCUCAUCUGCGUCUCCGGCGGCUCGUCUGCGGCUCUCUCAAGGUGUUCCCCUCUUAUAUCGAUGCUGUUCAGGAGGCUAUGUACAUCCCAGGUUCAUCACACCUCUCAUGUUACCUCCCUGAGCAGCAACAUGUUAGUGUGCUGCGACCCCUGGUGGUAGCGACGCGCCAUGAGGCUUCGCUAUAUGCAUAUGUGUCAAACACAACUUUAUUUAUUUAUUUAUUUAUUUCACCUCACCGACUGUGGUCACGUGAAGCCACACAACAGGACGUAAUUACAGUGACCCAGCUUGAUGCUUUUGGACACAUUUAAUCAGUUGCUUUAUUACAAAUGUUAUGUUCAGUCAGCAAAAUAUCUGUUCUGUUUUAUUAAUAAGAUAGGCCUUUAUUAGUCCUUAACAUGGGGAAAUUCACAGUGUAAUGAGCUCCAUAACUUGACUGUUUUUCUACACUAUUCUAUCACAUUCUUCAUGUCGUUUUUGUAUUCUAUUAUGUUCUUCUUGCAGUGUGUCUUGUUCUGUUCCUUCUCCAAUUUAGCAUUUUUCCUGUUACAUUCUGUUCUGCUAUAUUGCAAUUUCUGCAAUUCUGUUUAUUCUAUUUUGGAUUCGUUUGGAAAAUAUUUGUAUUUUUUUUUUUUAUUGUGAUACAUUCUAUUCUAUUGUAUUCUAUUCUAUUCUGUUCACGAGGUCAUGCUCCACUUUUCGUGCCUAUGGUGACGCGCUCAUAUGGCAUCGGUCAGCUGCUUCACGUAGACAAGAAGCCCACAACAACACCGGAAACUGGGCGCUUUUCUUGUCAAAAUAAAAUAUUCCAGACGUUUGAAUCCACCCUCUUCGUCGAGAUAUAGAUACUGUCACACAGGAAAACAGUAUUGUCAACAGGCAAAAAUAAGAUAAUUAAUAAAUAAAUAAUAGACAAUAAAUCUUGAGUGUGUAACACAUAACCUAAUAAUAUUAUUAAUAAUCAUUUGAAUAGUGUAGAAUAGAAUAGAAGUGUAACUAUGUACGUGCUGUUGUAUUUCUUCCAUCCAUACCCCUUUAUGUUCGCUUUGUAGUUGAUGACGGUAUACAAUAUUUUUUUUUUUUUUUUUAAGGGUUUGACCGGAAGCGUUGGUUUGAUUCAGGCUGACUUGACACCAAGUAGCAAUGUCCGACUUUGUGCCUGUCAGGAACAGCCCGGUUUCUUCUAAACAUGAUAUUUCAUCACUCCAGCUACAGCAGGACGGAUGUUCAGCAUAAUCUGUAUCGCCACGUCAACAUCUGACACCAACUGUGCAGUGGGGCCAAUAAGCAGCGGCUGCGCCUGGCGCCCAGCUGCAGGCAGGCCCCUCCAUGGUCUCUCCCACUAUGAAAGCGUUGGUGGAUGCUAUAUGGGCGGUAUGGAGCAUCGGGGCCUCUAUUUAUGACUACAUCCACACCAACGCCAUGGAGGAGCGGAUCCACGCCCUGGAGAAUGUCAUCACCAUCCACCAGUGUGUGAUCGGACUGCUGUCCGCAGGCGUACUGGCCCUCUUCACCUACAUCGUCUUUAAGAAGCUCUGAAGAUGCGCGUGUGUGUGAAGGGGGGCGACAUGGUGAAGGUGGACUGACCAGAAUUAGACUUGGUGUCUAACACGGUAAAGCAAACGCUCAUCGGACAGUCAAAGAGGAAUUUUGAUACGUGCAGGCUGAUCAGAGGUGGAAGUUACAUUCAGCACAUACCUGGGCACACUGUCUUUAUUCAAGGUGGUAGGAAGAUGCAGCAGUUAAUUUCUCUCUUGUAGUGCCACAUUUUUCCAAAUUUUGGGCAAAUGCAUUGAAGUUCAUGUCCUCCAUUAUUAAUGUAGUGGCUGAGGAGGAGGUAAUCAUGUGGAGCCACAGGGUCCAGUUGUUUUUAAAGGUCUAGUUUAUCGAGAGUUUUUGUACUCAUUAUGACAGAUUUUAUGUGCCAGUAUUCGCUAUCUUUACAAAAAUAAUACCUUUAAUAUAAUGCCUAAUUGUAAAGUAUUUGCUGGCUAAAAUAUUCAUCGUUCCGCUCCUAAUGUUCUGUUCUUAACAUUUUAAUUAUAAAUUAAAAUACCCAGAGUAGGCACAAACACUACUUUACAUCGGCAGUAAAUAACUAACCAAUUUAAAAUCUUUUGAGUAGCCCACUUAGCUCUAUAUAUCAUCAAAUCAGGGACCUCAUUUAUAAAAUAAUUCUUGGAUUUAUACUUGAACAUGGAUCUAAGAUCAUUUCCAACGGUGUGCUUAUGUUCGACUCAUGUAACAUUGUUUAUGAAGCUCAUGCAAGUUCAUCCCAGGCUUGGACACCUGCGCAUCCCAACAGCAACACCCUGACACCCAGCAGCAGAAAAAUUGAUCGCUCAAGUCCAGACUUUGCUUAGACAAAAGAUUAUUUCCAUGUCAAAGGAAGGGUUUACAAAUACCUACAUGUACAUGGUCAAGUCCUAGAUUUCACUGACACAGGCAAACUUCAGCAGACAGCAUGUAUCCAGGCAUUGCCUUCACAACAUAAUUCGCUAAUUUUCUAAAGGAAUAAUUAUUGAAAACAACGAUGUGCCGUAACAACCUCUGCCUUAAAGCAAAUUGUUCUCACUCACUGAAAGCCUGACUGAGAUGUCAGGUGAGAGCUCAUUUCCUGAACUAGAGUCUGUGGAAAAGGUGACUGGAGAGCGCCGAGGUACUUUAAUAUCUCAGAGUGUCAUUUCUAUCAAUAGAUUAAAUUUAUAUCAUAUACAAAGUGGGUCCACGGUUCUCUUGGGAACAUGUCUUUCAGUGAAUAGAGGCGUUCGGAUAGUAAGAUGGUAACAUGUUUAAAUUUUCCACAAGACCUUUUCUAUAUCAGAUGAGAGAAAAGACAUCAUAAAAUCCCUUGUGAUACGGUUUUAUAGGUCUAUGUGUGUUAUCUGCAUUAUUAGACUUCAUGAUGCAUUACUGUAAUGCUUUUUGCCAUUCAUGUUUUAUAUACCUCAUGGCUGUUACAUGACUGGAGGUGCCACCAUUGUUAAAAAGAAAACAACAACAAAAAACAAUGAUUUCAAGUGUCCUUAAAAGAUGUAAAUAUAUUUAAAUGCUAGCUGGCCUUUAAAAUGUUUCACAGAUGUGCAACCAUCCCAUAAUACUGCUGCUGCCUAAAAUUUAUGGUUAUAUUUUUUUAAACAAAGGUGGGAAUAUAAUUGAUUCCUGGUACUGAAACAUUGGAUCAGCAUGUGAAAUGAGAAUUUCAGAAGAUAAAGGAUGUUUUUUUUUCUCAUAGUAACUUAAAUUUAUGUUUACAGAAGUGGUGGAUCAUUGAAAACUAUUGCCUGUAUGAGUCAUGAGUUUGAAAAGAGGGUGCAGUGUGUGUUUAUCCAUAUACAGUUGUUAUGUCACUGUCUCAGAGGGACCACAGCACCACAGAAUAACAGACUACUUUAAUCAUUAUAACAGCAUCAAAGUUUGUUUUCUCAACUAAAUUCCAAAUAAAUGUGGAAUUCAAUUCAACUGGACAUCCUCGCAAUUGUACAUGUGCCCAAAAUCAGUCUGGUAUCAAAUACAGCACAAACUGCCGUAAGUACAAAUGGAAAGAAGGUACAAGUUUUAAACAGCAGCUGUAAAUAAAAAAAAUUACUGCUUCUAAAGUUGCAUUGGCCAAACUGAAGAAAAUCUCUCCUCAAUACCACUGGAACCUUUUGAAGACGAAUCAACAGGAGUUUUACUGAUGAGCAACCAACUUCAGAAAUGACAACGGUACUUUUCCACUUGAAGGCCUCAUAAAUGAACACAGCACCAGACUCCCAUAGGAGACAAGAGGAACACCUCCUCAGAAAACAUGUGCUGCUUCUUCAGCUCAUAUAACUUCCACACAGUUGCUGAACAUUUGCUGAACCUCCAGGCCAUGAUCUAAGCUACCGGGGCCGCUUCAGGGCCACUCAUAAGUGUCCAGUCUGAAACAGGGUAUAUCGAGAAGUGAACCUCUCCACACUCUCCCCCUCCAGAAACUUCAUGGCUCUCCAGUGGAUCUUGCCACAGUUCUCCGGCUGCCCGAGAGGCCCCAGCUCCUCCUGGAUGUACUGCAGCCACAGAUCUUGAGGAAAAUGAGAAAAGCACAGCUAAACUUAAAGCUGGGAAUUGUGCAAGGAUGCUCAGUUUAAAUAAUAUGACGCUCGAAGAACAAGGGUUUUUCAACUUCCAACACCAAUUGACAGCUUUCUUUGAUGGCCUGGAAACCAGACUUGUUUGGGAGCAAGCCUCUGAUGAAGAAUGUAUUUUCACUUUGACCUUCAAGACAGAUCUGAGCUACAUCUGGUCAAAUAACUAGUAACGUAUUCAUCAUUGACAUGAAUUUAGUCCUUGAUACUUGAAUAACAGAAAUAAAUACUGUGAACUAACUCUA